rnacentral:miRNA from 1 species
UAAGCUCAUGUACGGUGCGCG